GAUGAACGCUGGCGGCGUGCCUAAUACAUGCAAGUCGAGCGGUAAGGCUUUCACAGAUUAUUUAACCAGAUAAGCUCUUCGGAAAACUGUUUGCAGCGAUGAUUCCCCGGCUAGGGAAUCAGAGUUGAAUAAUGCGUGAAAGUACACGAGCGGCGGACGGCUGAGUAACACGUAGGAACGUACCCCAAAGUGAGGGAUAAGCACCGGAAACGGUGUCUAAUACCGCAUGUGAUCUUCGGAUUAAAGCUUCGGCGCUUUGGGAACGGCCCGCGCAUGAUUAGCUUGUUGGUGAGGUAAAAGCUCACCAAGGCGACGAUCAUUAGCUGGUCUGAGAGGAUGAUCAGCCAGACUGGGACUGAGAACGGCCCAGACUCCUACGGGAGGCAGCAGUAGGGAAUUUUCCACAAUGGACGAAAGUACUGAUGGAGCAACGCCGCGUGCAGGAUGAAGGGUUUCGGCUCGUAAACUGCUUUAUCUGUGAAGAUUAUGACGGUAGC
rnacentral:rRNA from 1 species